AGGUGCUUGCCCACUGAGUACACAGCCAUGAGCAGCCCUGAGCCCGAAAGAGUGGUGGCCGCGCCACCGAACACCUUGAGCACACUGCUGCCACCGCUGUGGCCCAGCGCAUGACCACUGCUCAGGGACAGAUGUGAGGAGGCGUUAAGGAAUGGAGGAAGGGGAAGAUCAAAGCCGAGCAGGCGAGACCUGGUGGAGCAGGGCAAGUGUGUUGAAUGAAAGGCCCCGGCUUCCCUCGGGCUCCACGCCAGAAACUCGAAGAGCACGGAAUCCGCCAUGCGCCCACGGACCGCCUGGCGCAAUCUGCUCCCAUUGGCCGGCUCGCGCAAGCCCCGCCCACUCCCGCCUCCAUUGGUGCUUUUGGACUUAGCCCCGCCUUCCCGCCCUG